rnacentral:lncRNA from 1 species
AAGAAUUGAAAACAUAUUGUAGGGUAAAGUUGGUGUUCAGAACAGAAGGUCUUGCCAUUGCGAAUGUCUGGCUCUGAUAAAGACUUUUACAAGCAGAGGACAAUGUUUGAUACUCCUCUGUAAAGAAAUAUAUUAUUUCUUUACAAAGGGAGUACAUUAAGCAUAGAGAGAGUCAUAAUAUUCGCUUUCACUGAAUUUGGCGAGAUAAUCCACAGUUAGAGAAGCAGGAGAGAGUUUGAGGCAAGUAACCCGUGGUAGUAAUCAUACUAGUGGAGGUAUUGGCACUAACAAUGUACCCAGGUCAUUUCCAUGUGUUGGAGGCUCGCUUACGUCUCUGGGAUAUUAAAUAUAUUAUGUGCAAAUCAGGUGCUGAUGCUGGCUCUGGGAGGGGUACGAGGGGGCAGAACAAGAGUUGUUGUGUUAACAAUGCAGUGACAGGUUGUGAGAUCAUUCAGAUUGACUGACUGAGUGUUGUGAGAUCAUUGAAAUUUUGCUGCGACAUUUUGAAUUUGCAGGGGAUGGGACACCUUGCGAUGUGCCUGAAGCCUUGAUGCAAUAUGACCGCAAUGAUGUUGCUGGACAAUCAGGUUAUCAUCUGUCAUUUCGCUUUGUUCUAAAAAUUGAGUUAUCUUUGCAUUCAGUUAACAUAGUUCUUUGCAGACAUCCAUGAGCAUGAGGAUGAAGUGGGUAGGGGAUUGUGCGUGAUGUCAGGCUGGAUGAGGAGUAACCUAAGGUUGCAGAUAGGCAUGGUCAGGACAUCGUGAAGGGUGAGAUGGGUGAUAAGUUCCGAGGAAAAGCUGGUUUGAAGGAUGAAGAGCCAAACGCAAGAGACAUGCUACUUUCUAUGACAGGAUGUUGUCAUGCACUUCCAGAGAACUUAGCAAGUAAGUUAAGUUUGAGUGUUGUUAGUACAACGUUUGCAAUUGUUAACUUGUGUGUCUAUCAUCAACACGCGCAGGAAGUGGUUCGAGCAUAUAGGUCUAUAUCUUGUGGUCCUAGUAGCGCUCUGAUCUAAAAAAUAAUAAUCUUGUGGUCCUAUCAGGAGAAGACUUCGUGAGGGAGUUCGGACCAAACGGGCUGUUGACAGUGGAUUCGUGUGUCGCGGCUGAUCAUUACAAGGAAGGUCGGAUGUUUGAUAGUUGACAGAUCAGGUGGCACCACGUCUUUGACUUGCGGUUUGUGGUGAGUGACCAAGAAAUGUCUUACUGUCUUUUGUACAAAUCAAAGUUUACACUAGCGAUCCGGGGUUUUACAACUGGCGCUGAUGUAUAUCUCGUAUAGCCUGGACUACGAACUUAUGAAUAUGAUGAUGAGCUAUGAAGUGCUCGGCUACAAGCUUCAGUAGACAAAAUUAUUUUAUGCAAAGAAAAUUUGAAAAGACAUGUCAUUGUUCAACUGAUAACCAAGUGAAUGGCUGAUACAUUUUGUAGAUGAUGCUGCCGGUGCCAAUGUACGAGGUCCAUAGUGUAUGAGGUGAUUUUGAUGAGGGGGACAGGGUUGAGCUGCCAGAUUUCAUGCUUGAAGUGCUCUUUCUUAGGUAUGAGUUAUACGGAUGUAGUAUUUUAGAUCCGGUGUCUGCGAGAUUGAUUAUGAAACACGCUGUGUACAUUAGACACUGGAGGGGAAUGUUAGCUACCAUCUCAUUUUGUGGUGUGGUAGUGAUUCUAAGCCCAGUGUUUGCCACAUUGAGCCUAACCUGUAUUUUGAGCAAGACAUGGCAAGCUAGAUUACAUCCUAGUCAGCUGGCGUGGAAGUGCUUGUGAUCACUCUGUGCUUAGCUAUACUAUAUUUGCAUGUAAGGAUUGACAUGCCACAUGUUGAAGGUGGUAACUGAACCAACAGAUGAUGAAUCGUUGGUUUUUAAGAUUUGUAAGUGCUUUGUUAAGAUUGUAGUGCAGAACUCUGUAAGGUGUUCAUUUUGCAAUUAAUGCUGUUCAGAACCAUUUGGAGUUACUCUCCAGCUAAGGAUGGAUGUGGUUUUCAAUUAGGAGACCUGGACGGUGAGGUCUAUCCCGUAGAGGUAGUCAAAUUAUGAGACUUGGUAUUUUGCCAAAAUGGCUUCUGAUGAGUUCAUGUCGUGUUUUGCAAAAAGGAAACUGAAAACUUUCAAUGUGCGUUUUAAG